rnacentral:ncRNA from 2 species
UAAACUUGCCGCACUUUUGGUGCUCGCGCGCGCAUUCAAUGCGUGCGCAGUCAAACGGGAAACAGGGAGCGACGCCCCAGGGCCGAGCCAACCUGUGCUGCCCCCGCAACGGUAAGCGACCGCAACGCAAGUUGCAAGUCGUCCCGGACGCGUUUGUCCGCCAUCGCACUUCAGAUUUCGUCAUCGAAGAUCGCAUGCGCGGCACACGUGUCGACGCCACUGCGCGAAUGCGCGGGAAGGCGGGACGAUCUCGUCGCCAGCCCGGAUACCGGCCAAUGGUCACGCGCGUCG